GCCCCCGUAGCUCAGGGGAUAGAGCACCGCUCUCCUAAAGCGGGUGCCGCGAGUUCGAAUCUCGCCGGGGGCG
rnacentral:tRNA from 2 species